UUUGACCUCGGAUCAGGUAGGAACACCCGCUGAACUUAAGCAUAUCAAUAAGCGGAGGAAAAGAAACCAACAGGGAUUGCCCUAGUAACGGCGAGUGAAGCGGCAACAGCUCAAAUUUGAAAUCUGGCCUCCUGCGGGGGGGUCCGAGUUGUAAUUUGCAGAGGAUGCUUCGGGCGCGGCGCCUGCCUAAGUCCCCUGGAACGGGGCGCCGCAGAGGGUGAGAGCCCCGUGAGGACAGAGGGCCGCGCCCGUGUGAAGCUCCUUCGACGAGUCGAGUAGUUUGGGAAUGCUGCUCUAAGUGGGAGGUAAAUUUCUUCUAAAGCUAAAUACCGGCCAGAGACCGAUAGCGCACAAGUAGAGUGAUCGAAAGAUGAAAAGCACUUUGGAAAGAGGGUUAAACAGCACGUGAAAUUGUUGAAAGGGAAGCGCUCGCGACCAGACUCGCGCCGGGUUGAUCAGCCAGCGGUCUCCCGCUGGCGCACUCUGCCCGGCGCGGGCCAGCAUCGGCUCCGGCGGGGGGAUAAAGGCGGCGGGAACGUGGCUCCCCUCGGGGAGUGUUAUAGCCCGCCGCGCAAUGCCUCCGCGGGGGCCGAGGACCGCGCCUCAGUGCAAG
rnacentral:rRNA from 1 species